rnacentral:rRNA from 1 species
GAGACAGCAGCCGCCGCGGUAAUACAGAGGGUGCGAGCGUUAAUCGGAUUUACUGGGCGUAAAGCGUGCGUAGGCGGCUAAUUGAGUCGGAUGUGAAAUCCCCGAGCUUAACUUGGGAAUUGCAUUCGAUACUGGUUAGCUAGAGUGUGGGAGAGGAUGGUAGAAUUCCAGGUGUAGCGGUGAAAUGCGUAGAGAUCUGGAGGAAUACCGAUGGCGAAGGCAGCCAUCUGGCCUAACACUGACGCUGAGGUACGAAAGCAUGGGGAGCAAACAGGAUUAGAUACCCCGGUAGUCCCUGUCUCUUAUAC